AUGAAGAGAAUGGAAUUCUUUAGCAUAUCUCUUCUAGAAGUACUUGUGUCAAAAUGGACCUGUUUGGAGAUAGAUGUUCUUCUCUGCAUUCAGAGAUCUGAAUUCCUAUCAGGCUUGUGGCAAGGACAAACUCUCCUAUCAGUGACACCUAUGAAACACAAAAAACCCACAAUGGAGUUACGUCUGCCUCCUAGAGUUUCCUUUGCCUGCAUCCCACAAGGGACCUGA
rnacentral:lncRNA from 1 species